UUAACAAUAUAGUAUUCUACCUUAUUUCAAUAGAUAGAACAAAAAAAAUAAACAUGAAAUGCAACUAUCAUCUCUUCUAUCUAAAGUGUACUUUGAUUAAUAAUUAUCAAUUUUCAAAUGUAUUUGCUGACAUGAUGAAAAAAGUGCUGCCAACUGAACAAUUUUCUCUCGCUCUUCUUAAUUAUGAAAAAUAAGUAAAUGACAGGAACUGCAAACUUAACAGAAAAAUGCUGCCAACUUAACGCUGACUGCUUUUUAAUUCUAAAUAAAAGGAAAUGACAGUGCCUGAUUCUAAAUGUAUUUGCGAAUAAAAGAUAACCCCAAUUUAGAGCGUAGCCACAAUAAACCGUUAAAAUGUGAUGAAAUAAGGAGGGAAAAGCUCGACAUGACACAACACGAUGCGACACGAUGCGAUGCGCUGCGAUGCGAUGCGAUGCUGCAAUCCCAAAAAUUGUUGCGGAUGAUUUAUGUUAAUGCCAUGUCAACUGAUUAAUAUUUUCGGUCACGUGCCGCCAUUCAUAACCCAUAACCAUGCCCCCCAUUCGUUCCACACUGCGGAAAGAAGGCAGAGAGAGAAAGAGGCUGGUGAGGGGGCGUGGAUGAGGGCGACAGCAGGGAGAUUUAUCGCAGCACGCGACCUGGCAAACAUUUCCAAACGGAGACCAAAGAGAGACUGAG